UCCCGGUGCAGUUAAGUGUAGAUUUGUCGCUUUCAAUCCCGGUGCAGUGAUCCGCACGUUUUUACAUGGAUUCAAAUUGAGGGCAAUCUCUGGAGGCGGAAGAGGGACAUCGGCAUCGCUGCCAAAACCAAUAAGAUCAUCGCCAAGGAUUGUAAGGCAUUAAUUUUUAAGUUUCAAAUGUUUACCCAUAUUUUGUUUUUUAUGUACCUAGGAGAACCACAUCACCACCGAAGAGAACUAUUGGUCCCUAGAGUGGUCCGAUUACGGCAGAUCUAAACGAGGUCUAAACCUAGCAGUUUUCGCCUUUUCACCCGCCAGAUGGCGCACUAACCGCUUCUGUGACGGUGACUCAGGAGGCUGUCCCGCUCUUCAUCAAAAGCAGACGAGACUCACACGUGGGCUUUGCGAGAAGCUAUUUCCUCGUUGAGAAAUAUGGCACUCGAAGAGGUCGAUCUGUUUCUCAAUUAGGAUCAUUCUACGAAUCCUUCAGCCACGCUAUCCUAUGAUGAGAAACCCUUACGACAUUCCAACAACGCGAUGAAUGGUAUGCAGGAAGCAAUGCAUGGCAAUAAACAAUGCACCGUUUGGCAUGCAGGAAGAAUAGCGGAGACGACUAUGAUGAACUUCCCAGUUUUGACUACUGAACUAGAAACCGUUUUAUAGAACCAUUCACAUGGUUUUGUCUCUCUAUUAUUUCAUUUUAAAAAUGCUAUUGAAAAUUGUUUUUUAUCCGUCAUACGUCAAAAUAGCAAAUCUUAAUUCGUUGUAAUGCAUGAACUCGUUAGCCAAUAAUGUUUGAAGAAGAUGUUUUCAUCUUUCUGCAAUGCGGCAACACAGCAUUGCAUGUCGGAUCUGUGAACGUUUGACAACUCAUUGGUGUUGCAAUAGGUUAAUAGUUUUGUGUCAAUUAAAAUUUCAAUGUAACUGCUGUGUCAAGCGAAAUCUGCAUGUGUCGUGUCAUUGUU
rnacentral:misc_RNA from 1 species